AAAUUGAAGAGUUUGAUCAUGGCUCAGAUUGAACGCUGGCGGCAGGCCUAACACAUGCAAGUCGAGCGGUAGCACAGAGAGCUUGCUCUCGGGUGACGAGCGGCGGACGGGUGAGUAAUGUCUGGGAAACUGCCUGAUGGAGGGGGAUAACUACUGGAAACGGUAGCUAAUACCGCAUAACGUCGCAAGACCAAAGUGGGGGACCUUCGGGCCUCAUGCCAUCAGAUGUGCCCAGAUGGGAUUAGCUAGUAGGUGGGGUAACGGCUCACCUAGGCGACGAUCCCUAGCUGGUCUGAGAGGAUGA
rnacentral:rRNA from 1 species